rnacentral:rRNA from 1 species
UGCAUGCUUUUACAGUAUGGAAAUUGGUGAUUUAUAAUAACUUGGCAAAUCGCAAAGUGAAAACAGGCGAUAAAUCAUUCAAGUUUCUGACCUAUCAGCUUUCGACGGUAUGGUAUUGGCUUACCGUGGCAGUGACGGUUAACGGGGGAUUAGGGUUCGAUUCCGGAGAGGGAGCCUGAGAAACGGCUACCACAUCUAAGGAAGGCAGCAGGCGCGCAAAUUACCCAAUUCUAACAGUUUGAGAGAGGUAGUAACAAGAAAUAACAAUACAAGGCAAUUAAAAUGCUUUGUAAUUGGAAUGAUAGAAAUUUAAACCCUUUUUAAAGUAUCAAUUGGAGGGCAAGUCUGGUGCCAGCAGCCGCGGUAAUUCCAGCUCCAAUAGCGUAUAUUAAAAUUGUUGCAGUUAAAAAGCUCGUAGUUGAAGUUCUGCUAAAAGUAACCGGUCUGCUUUUAAUAAAAGUGGUAUCUUGGUGUGUAUUUAGCAAUGAUGUCCUUUGAAGUGUUUUUUACUUUAUUGUAAUAAAGCAUAUUCAGGACUUUUACUUUGAGAAAAUUAGAGUGUUUCUAGCAGGCCGACGCUUUGAAUACUGCAGCAUG